UAAAUCUAUCAACAUAAUACACAACAUCUCUUUACACUGACUGUAUAGAAAGAGGAGGUACAGUAAAUGCACCCCAUAUACACCUCAACACAGGCCCUAUGCUUGGUCUGUAUUGUGAAUGGGGGACAAAA